rnacentral:misc_RNA from 1 species
UUUCCGUAGGUGAACCUGCGGAAGGAUCAUUAACAAGUCCGUUGUGCGUGCAGAAGCAAUUUUGCAUGCGCACAUCCGUUCCAUGCACAUUCAUUUGUGCAUGACAUUUCUGCGAAUCGUCUGAUUGUCACUCGACUAAUACAUAUAUAACUUCUAACAAUGGAUCUCUAGGCUCUUGCAUCGACGAAGAACGCAGC